UUUGAAAAUAUAUAAUAAGGUUAAGGACAUAGUUCAAAUUUAAACAAAAAAAUGAUGGAUAAGGAAGAAAGAGCUAGAAUAAACAUAAAGAGACAUGAAAAAAUGUGAAAAUAUUUUAGAUAAAAUGGUAUAAUGAAAAGUGGUAACUUUUAGAUGAAAUAACAUAACAGAAAGUGAUAACUUUUAGAUGAAGUGACAUGUAAA
rnacentral:lncRNA from 1 species